rnacentral:rRNA from 1 species
ACCCUUCGGGGAGGACGGUCACCACUUUGUGAUUCAUGACUGGGGUGAAGUCGUAACAAGGUAACCCUAGGGGAACCUGGGGUUGGAUCACCUCCUUAUCUUGAAG